rnacentral:rRNA from 1 species
CAGCCGCCGCGGUAAUACGUAGGUGGCAAGCGUUGUCCGGGAUUAUUGGGCGUAAAGGGCUCGCAGGCGGUUUCUUAAGUCUGAUGUGAAAGCCCCCGGCUCAACCGGGGAGGGUCAUUGGAAACUGGGAAACUUGAGUGCAGAAGAGGAGAGUGGAAUUCCACGUGUAGCGGUGAAAUGCGUAGAGAUGUGGAGGAACACCAGUGGCGAAGGCGACUCUCUGGUCUGUAACUGACGCUGAGGAGCGAAAGCGUGGGGAGCGAACAGGAUUAGAUACCCCAGUAGUCCCUGUCUCUUAUAC